CCAAGUUGUUGGUCUGUUUUUUCCUGCAUUGCUGAGAGUCCAGGUUUAUUCGUCACACCAGGUCCUCCCAAUCCUGAAGAGAGUAACUAAGAGUUCAGCAUCCUUUAAAGGUCUAAAUAAGAAGCAUUUGGCCAGGCACAGUGGCUCACACCUGUAAUCCCAGCACUAUGGGAGGCCAAGGCAAGUGGAUCACUUGAGGUCAGGAGUUUGAGACCAGCCUGGCCAACAUGGUGAAACCCUGAAACCCUGUCUACUAAAAAUACAAAAAAAAAAAAAAAAAAAAAAAAAAAACCCAAAACAUUUGCCAUCUCUCUCUAAGGGUGACCACCUAUGUAGACUUCAUCUACAUAGUAAGAACCUUGAUCUCCACAAUCCCUGAUCUUAAUCCAAAGACUCCUUUCUCUUGAUUCCAGGUUUUUAGAUAAUCACUUUUUUGGGGGGGGUGGUUGGAGGGACCAGGUUCUUGCCAUGUUGCCCAGGCUGGAGUACAGUGGCAUGAUCAUAGCUCACUGAAACCUAGAUCUCCUGGGCUCCAGUGAUGCCCCCACCACCCUCAGCCUCCUGAGUAGCUAGGACUAUAGACAUGCACCACCGUGCCUGGCUUUUUUUUUGUUUUUUUGUUUGUUUGUUUGUUUUUGGUAGAGACAGGGUUUCACCAUGUUGCCCAGCCAGGUCUCAAUCUCUUAGGCUUUAGGGAUCCUCCCACCUUGGCAUACCAAAGUGCUGGAAUUACAGGCAUAUCCCAACAUGCCUGGCUAGAUAAUAACUUAUCUCUUUCAACUAAUUGCCAAUCAGAAAACCUUUUAAUCUGGCUGGACACAGUGGUUCAUUCCUGUAAUCCCAGCAUGUUGGGAAGCUGAAGCAGGUGGAUUGCUUGAGCCCAGGAGUUCAAGACCAGCCUGGGCAACAUGGCGAAACCUUGUCUCUACUGAAAAUACAAUAACAGCAAAAAAUUAGCCAGGCAUGGUUACACGUGUCUGUAGUCUCAGCUACUGCAGAGGAUGAUGUGGGAGGAUCACCUGAGCCAAGGAGAUUGAGGUUGCAGCAAGCCAUCAUUACACCACUGCAGUCCAACCUGGGCAACAGAGUAAGACCCUGUCUCAACAACAACAAAAAGAAAAUCUUUGAAUCCACCUAUAACCUGUAAGCACCCCUUCCCCUGCUUCGAGUUUUUCUGCCUUUCCAGAUUGAACUAAUGUAUACAUCACAUGUAUAGGUUGAUGUCAUCCGUCUCCCUAAAACAUAUACAACCAAGCUGUAACUCAACCACCUUGGGCACAUGUUCUCAGGACCACUUGAGACUGUGCCUCAGGCCAUUGUUAUAUCAUACUUUGCUCAGAAUAAACCUGUUUAAAUAUUUUAC
rnacentral:lncRNA from 10 species